AGCAGUCGCCGCGGUAAUCCGUAGGUCCCGAGCGUUGUCCGGAUUUAUUGGGCGUAAAGCGAGCGCAGGCGGUUAGAUAAGUCUGAAGUUAAAGGCUGUGGCUUAACCAUAGUACGCUUUGGAAACUGUUUAACUUGAGUGCAAGAGGGGAGAGUGGAAUUCCAUGUGUAGCGGUGAAAUGCGUAGAUAUAUGGAGGAACACCGGUGGCGAAAGCGGCUCUCUGGCUUGUAACUGACGCUGAGGCUCGAAAGCGUGGGGAGCAAACAGGAUUAGAUACCCGUGUAGUCCCUGUCUCUUAUACA
rnacentral:rRNA from 1 species